UGAGGAAUUUUGCGCAAUGGCCGCAAGGCUGACGCAGCAACGCCGCGUGGGUGAUGAAGGCCUUCGGGUCGUAAAGCCCUGUCAGGUGGGAAGAAAGGCUUUGAGAAGCAACGCUUGAGGUUUGACGGUACCACCAGAGGAAGCACCGGCUAACUCCGUGCCAGCAGCCGCGGUAAUACGGAGGGUGCGAGCGUUAUUCGGAAUUACUGGGCGUAAAGCGCGUGUAGGCGGGGAUGCAAGUCUGAUGUGAAAGCCCUGGGCUUAACCUGGGAAGUGCAUUGGAAACUGCAUUUCUUGAGUACUGGAGAGGAAGGGGGAAUUCCCGGUGUAGAGGUGAAAUUCGUAGAGAUCGGGAGGAAUACCAGUGGCGUAGGCGCCCUUCUGGACGGUUACUGACGCUGAGACGCGAAAGCGUGGGGAGCAAACAGG
rnacentral:rRNA from 1 species